rnacentral:miRNA from 15 species
CAAGUCCGUGCCAUUCCCUUCCACAGCUUUCUUGAACUUCUCCUGUAUAACCCUCCCUCCGACACAGAGGUGGGAGGAGGAAGCGAAGAAGAGGGUCAAGAAAGCUGUGGGAAGGGAUGACAAUUCAGGGCUUC